UGUGUGUGUGUGGUGGGGGGGGCACUUGUACAGGAAAUAACAAGUGACUAUUUGACUUAAAAGGAUCCUUUGAAUUAGUCGCCCAUAAGUCCUUGAUGAUUGGCACUGACAGUCUUGCUUGACCAAUAUGGUGUACGUUUCACAGUUUUGGAUAUUUUUUGGUGCACUGUUGUCUUCAAAUGCUCAGUACCACAGGAAAACAAGAUGCACAGAGGUCGCCGUAAACGCUUCUCUGAAUUCUGAAGUCUUUCUCCCAUGUCAUUUUAAUAUAAGCCAUCUCAAUGAAACCCAGGAAGUGAUGUGGAGACACUAUUACAGUUUUGUAAGGAUCAUGAUUAAUGGGAGAAUGUUCUUUGACAAUCCUACUGAAGGACGAGUGAAUGUUUAUCCGCUUCUGUCUAAACAUGGAAACUUCUCCAUCCUCAUCCAUGAUCUGCAGCUUUCAGACCUCGGCACCUACGAAUAAACGGAAGAAAACCCUAAUCACAACUCCUGGUCAUUCUUUUUUGCUGGAGUUGGAGUAUUUCUUCUUCUUUUUAUUAUAUUCAGUCGCACUGAAAAAUGCAUGAGAUCAUCCAAAUGCACCUCUACUAAUGAAGAACACCACGAAGUCUUUUUCAGGCAAUAGUUCAGUUGAGAAGGUGCUGGCAGGAGGGGGAAAUGAAAUCACGAUUUCCUAUUUUAGAUAACAAUUCUGUAAGGCUUGUCUCAUACUUUUUUAUAUACUCAAUCAUAUGUCAUCUGUUUUUUUUCAUUUAUUGUAUAAUUAUUUUUAGUUUUUAAAAUAUUUUUAUUUUCAGAUAACUGAAUACUUUUGUAAACCACAUAGCCUAUGGAAAUGUAAGUGCAAAUUGUCAUUGUGGAUUGUCAUUGACCUUUCCUUUUGAAAUUAUUUGUUAUUA